rnacentral:piRNA from 1 species
UACCUCACCUAGAAUCUGAAAAGCCC